rnacentral:tRNA from 1 species
GACAAUAUGACAUAGUGGUUUGAGUGCUGAACUAUGACUGUGGAGACCAGGGUUCAAAUCCCAGCUUGGCCA